rnacentral:lncRNA from 1 species
UUUAUUUUAUUUCGUUUAUGAGCGUGGACUUAAAACAGAUUUGUAAGCUUUGGGGCUGAGGACCUAUAUAACAGCACCAGGGUUUUAGUUUAGGGAGUUUUUUUUCUGGAGAGGAGAAUAAUUUUAAGGUUUUGCAAUUCCAAUUUUUAUUACUGUUCAUGCACACUGUUCACGUAGAAUAAAAUUUGUUUUCUGCAAUUUCGUUUCUACUUCAAUCUACAAUUUCAUUUUUUGCUGAUUAAUGGAAGGCUAAGUCUCCAGCGUUGUUUUC